rnacentral:miRNA from 1 species
UAUAAGACGAACAAAAGGUUU